UACGUAGGGUGCAAGCGUUAAUCGGAAUUACUGGGCGUAAAGCGUGCGUAGACGGUAGCGUAAGUCAGAUGUGAAAGCCCCGGGCUCAACCUGGGAAUUGCAUUUGAGACUGCUCUGCUCGGGUGCGGAAGAGGGAAGCGGAAUUUCCGGUGUAGCGGUGAAAUGCGUAGAUAUCGGAAGGAACACCAGUGGCGAAAGCGGCUUCCUGGUCCGACACCGACGUUCAGGCACGAAAGCGUGGGGAGCAAACAGG
rnacentral:rRNA from 1 species